rnacentral:tRNA from 1 species
GGCUCGUUGGUCUAGGGGUAUGAUUCCUGCUUCGGGUGCAGGAGGUCCCGGGUUCAAAUCCCGAACGAGCCC